UUUGUGAAAUUAGGAAGUCCGGGAGCACUGCGGUAGAGGAUCUCUGACCCUGGAGGAUGGCACUACAGAAACUGGAGAAUUUGUCUGUCCUCUUGGGUGGAAUCCAUCAAGCCCUGAGAGAAGUCUGUGCUCGCAGUGCUGGUGCUGUCAGAGCCAACUCCUUUGCUCCGGGAGGUGAUGGGGAUCCCCUCAUUCACAGCCCUCCCUGCUGCCGAGAGUGACCAGGCUGACUGCAUGCCCUGCCAUCCUUUGGGCCACAUGCUACUGUGGACAGCCCUGCUAUUCCUGGCUCCUGCUGCUGGGACACCUGCAGGUCUCCCGAAGGCUGUGGUGAACCUUCAGUCCAAAUGGGUCAACGUUCUCCAGGAGGAUGAUGUGAUGUUGAUGUGCCAAGGGACCAACAACCCUGGGGAUGACUUCACCCAGUGGUUCCAUAAUGGAAGCUCCAUCCCAACCCAGGUAGAGCUCAGCUACAGCUUUAAGGCCAGCAGCAAAGACAGCGGGGACUACAAGUGCCAGACGGGCCAGACCAGCCUCAGUGACCCUGUGCAUCUGGAUGUGAUUUCCGACUGGCUGCUGCUCCAGACCCCUAGCCUGGUGUUCCAGGAAGGGGAACCCAUCGUGCUGAGGUGCCACAGCUGGAAAGACAAGCCUCUGUAUAAGGUCACAUUCUUCCACAAUAGAAAAUCCAUGAAGUUUUCCUUUGUGUAUUCCAACUUCUCUAUCCCACAAGCAAACUUCAGUCACAAUGGCGAGUACUACUGCACAGGAUUUAUCGGGCAGAUGCAGCACUCGUCACAGCCUGUGACCAUCACUGUCCAAGGGUCCAGCUUGAGCAGUUCCUCGCUGGUGAUGAUCGUGGUGGCUGUGGUCGCUGGGAUUGCUGCAGUGGCUAUUGUUGCCACCGUAGUAGCCCGGCUCCGCCUGAGGCGAAAGCAGAUUUCAGCUCUCCCAGGAACCCCUGAGCACAGGGAAAUGGGAGAGCCCCUCCCUGAGGAACCAGAAUUUGGAGCAUGGAACACAGGGACUCCUUUUGUCCUGGAGAUGAAUGAAGACACUAGAUGCAUUGUCUCAGACUCCUCCCCCACUUCCUGAGGAAUGCUGCUUUGCAGAUACUGAGGCUGCUUUUGCACUGGCGAACCAAUCUCAAUGAUGCUGAAGAGGCUGCCAAAGCUGAGGCUGAGAAUACAGUCACCUAUUCACUUCUCUUGCACCCGGAAGUUGCAGAGGAAGAAACAGAGCCAGACUACCAGAAUCACCUUUAGUUUUCAUUGCCUUGCCUGAGACUUGGGGAAGAGAAUCAGAGAGACCAGGAUCUGGUGUCCUUCUUUGGAACUGCCUCUUUUUGUCCUCUUGGAGAAGGCAGCUCCAUAAAUUCAUGUAUUACUUUUAUAAUAAAAUACUAUACAAACAACA